rnacentral:rRNA from 1 species
AACGAACGCUGGCGGCAUGCCUAACACAUGCAAGUCGAACGAGACCUUCGGGUCUAGUGGCGCACGGGUGCGUAACGCGUGGGAACCUGCCCUUAGGUUCGGAAUAACUCCCCGAAAGGGGUGAUAAUACCGGAUAAUGUCUUCGGACCAAAGAUUUAUCGACUUUGGAUGGGCCCGCGUUGGAUUAGCUAGUUGGUAGGGUAAAAGCCUACCAAGGCGACGAUCCAUAGCUGGUCUGAGAGGAUGAUCAGCCACACUGGGACUGAGACACGGCCCAGACUCCUACGGGAGGCAGCAGUGGGGAAUAUUGGACAGUGGGCGAAAGCCUGAUCCAGCAAUGCCGCGUGAGUGAUGAAGGCCUUAGGGUUGUAAAGCUCUUUUACCCGGGAUGAUAAUGACAGUACCGGGAGAAUAAGCUCCGGCUAACUCCGUG